rnacentral:rRNA from 2 species
UACGAAGGGUGCAAGCGUUACUCGGAAUUACUGGGCGUAAAGCGUGCGUAGGUGGUUGUUUAAGUCUGAUGUGAAAGCCCUGGGCUCAACCUGGGAAUGGCAUUGGAUACUGGAUAGCUAGAGUGCGGUAGAGGGUAGUGGAAUUCCCGGUGUAGCAGUGAAAUGCGUAGAGAUCGGGAGGAACAUCCGUGGCGAAGGCGACUACCUGGGCCAGCACUGACACUGAGGCACGAAAGCGUGGGGAGCAAACAGG